GCUGCGCGGGGCGGGGGGCGGGCGGCGGGCCCGGCGCUAUUCCGGCCAGGAGGCGGGAGGCGGUUGCCGGCUGCGCGCCGAAGCCUGCGCGCCAGUCCUCCGGCCACUGCUAUCGCCCACGGCCGCACCAUGGCCCUAAAGGCCGAGGGCGCCGCACUCGACUGCUUCGAGGUGACGCUCAAAUGCGAGGAAGGGGAGGACGAGGAGGAGGCCAUGGUGGUGGCCGUAAUUCCGCGGCCCGAGCCGAUGCUCAGAGUGACCCAACAGGAGAAGACCCCACCGCCUAGACCCAGCCCACUAGAGGCGGGCAGUGAUGGCUGUGAGGAGCCGAAGCAGCAGGUGUCUUGGGAGCAGGAGUUCCUGGUGGGCAGCAGCCCAGGAGGCAGCGGGCGGGCACUGUGCAUGGUGUGUGGCGCUGAGAUCCGGGCACCCUCGGCCGACACGGCUCGCUCGCACAUCUUGGAGCAGCACCCUCACACCUUGGACCUGAGCCCUUCUGAGAAGAGCAACAUCCUGGAGGCCUGGAGUGAAGGGGUGGCCCUCUUGCAAGACGUGAGAGCUGAGCAGCCAUCCCCACCCAACUCAGACUCGGGCCAGGAUGCCCACCCAGACCCAGACUCCAACCCAGACGCUGCCAGAAUGCCAGCCGAAAUCGUCGUUCUCCUUGACUCUGAGGAUAACCCAUCCCUCCCUAAAAGGAGCCGGCCCAGGGGACUCCGCCCCCUCGAGCUUCCUGCUGUCCCUGCCACAGAGCCAGGAAAUAAGAAGCCCCGUGGUCAGAGAUGGAAGGAACCCCCAGGGGAAGAGCCAGUCAGAAAGAAAAGAGGCAGACCUAUGACCAAAAACCUGGACCCUGACCCAGAGCCCCCAUCGCCAGACUCGCCCACGGAGACUUUCGCAGCACCAGCCGAGGUCCGACACUUCACUGACGGCAGCUUCCCCGCCGGCUUCGUCUUGCAGCUCUUCUCCCACACCCAGCUCAGGGGCCCAGACAGCAAGGACUCACCCAAAGACAGGGAAGCGGCAGAAGGAGGCCUUCCCCGGGCGGAGAGCCCCUCUCCAGGCCUCACCCCUUCACGUAGAUCACAGUUUUAACUGUCUCAAGUUUCAGCUUGAGUCACAUUCCAGUCCUGGCUCCCUGAGACCGAGUGUGCUGCUUGGACUUGAGCGUGUCCCGAGUCUCCUGGUCCUCUCCGGUGGAUCCCUGCUCUAAAUGGCUGACCUCUUCCACUGUCUAAUGGGUCUUCUGAUUUCAUUCUCGAAAGGGAGCCCUCAUUUCAAGUCCUGGGGUACCCUGUGCGCAAACUCCACCUAUCUGGAGUGGUAUAUAGGCUGGAGGCAGUAAAUCUUUAAAAACCAGGGGCCCCCGUGGCGGUUCUUUGCGGAGCAGAGGCUCUGGACCUGUGGUUUCAGACGAUCUCACGAACCCAAAGCUUGGACAGAUUUCUCAGAAACCUGUGAGGCUUCGACCAAAAUGUCUCUACUUUCUGUGUUGUUAUGUACGUAUUGAAGUUCUCUGAAGACUUUAUUUAAAUAAAGAUCCUGCCACUUUAAAAAAAAUUAGAGGUGUAAAAAUCAUGGAUUUAACAGUUGGAAAAGGCCACCUGUGGUCAGGUUAGCUGAGCUGAUGAAUGUGAAUGUGAGGUAGUCCAGGAAGACUCUAGAACCUUCUGAGGACCUUGCCAGAGGAGGGUGGGGAGAGUGUGCAGGCCAGGAGAGGAGGUGGGCCACAAUGACCCACUGACAAGUAAUGGAAAGAGGAGCCUCUCUGUCUUGCUGGUGUUUUUCUUUUUUUUAUUUUGGAGAUGGAGUCUCGCUGUGUCGCCCAGGCUGGAGUGCAGUGGCGUGAUCUCGGCUCACUGCAAGCUCCGCCUCCUCCCAGGUUCACACCAUUCUUCUGCCUCAGCCUCCCAAGGAGCUGGGACUACAGGCGCCCACCACCACACCUGGCUAAUUUUUUGUAUUUUUAGUAGAGACGGGGUUUCACUGUGUUAGCCAGGAUGGUCUCGAUCUCCUGACCUCGUGAUCUGCCCGCCUCAGCCUCCCAAAAUGCUGGGAUUACAGGCGUGAGCCACUGCACCUGGCCUGUUUUUCUUUUUCUUUUUUUUUUUGGAGAUGGAGUUUUGCUCUUGUCGCCCAGGCUGGAGUGCAGUGGCGCAAUCUUGGCUCACUGCAACCUCCGCCUCCCAAGUUCAAGUGAUUCUCCUUCCUCAGCCUCCUGAGUAGCUGGGAUUACAGGCAUGCGCCACCACGCCUGGCUAAUUUUUUUGUAUUAUUAGUAGAGAUGGCGUCUCACCCUAUUGGCCAGGCUAGUCUCAAACUCCUGACCUCGGGUGAUCCGCCCACCUCGGCCUCCCAAAGUGCUGGGAUUACAGGCAUGAGCCACUGCACCUGGCCGGUCCUUCUCUUUAUGAUCUCGUGGUUAUGGUGGGCUGAUCACUCACUCCUUCCUGGAGACAACUUUCUUCCCUUGGCUUUUCAGGCAGCUGCUCGCCUGGUGUUCCUCUUCCCUUACUAACUGUUCCUUCUCAGUUUCUCUUGCCGCUCACUCUCAGCUCCCAGAGUUGGAACACGUCGUAUCAUUGUCUGCCUUUCCCUUUCUAGAAUGUAAGGGCCUGCAGGUUAGGGUGUUUGCGUCCUGCACUAUAAUAUCUGCGGUAACCAGAACAGUGCCUGGCACAGCGUAGGCCCGGCUUAUGUGUUUGGUGAAUGAGUAAGUGCUUAAGUAUCCGCAGCCGUGGGUCAGUGUCGGUACUCGCUCCCUGGGAGAUCUCAUCCAGGUUCACAGCUUUCAAUGACAUGUGUGUGCUCGUAAUGCCCACCUUGGCUGCUCCUUCCUGGUUCCAUCCUCUUUUCCAGUUGCCCAGGUGGCGUCUCUACAUGGAUGUCUAAAAGAUCUCAAACAUUGUGCCACUGCACUCCAGCCUGGCGACAGAGCGAGAUUCCAUCUCAAAAAAAAAAAAAAAAAUCUCAAACUCGCCACAUUGAAACUGAACCCCCAGUCUCACCAAUCCACCCUACCCCUAGACUCCACAAUCUUCCCUUUCCCAGUCAACAGGCAGCCCCAGGCUUCAGUUUGCUGUGACCACACCCACACAGUCAUCCUCUUCUUUCUCCAGCCCAGCAUCUGUCCAGCAGCCGAUCCUCCAAAACAAGUUCAGAGCUCACACUGCUGUCACCACAUCCACUGCUGCUACCCUAGUCAGGGCCGGCUCUCGCCUGGUUCCUGUAACAAACCUAAGCCAGGUCUCCUGGCUGCUGAGCUUUGCCCGCUAUGCUCUGCUCUCCUGUAGCAGCCAGAGUGUCCCUGCUGAGAACACAAGUCAGAUCCAGUCACUCCUCUACUCAUGGCCUUUCUGUGCUGCUCCUGUUGCACUCCAGAUAAAAGCCAGAGCCUUCGUGGUGACCAGUGAGCUCCCCACAGGCUCCUGACCUCUCCCCCCACAUCCCGCUCCCCGCACAGGCACUGGCCUUGCUGUUCCUGGGGAAGCCAGCGUGCUCCACCAGGGCAUCCACAUUUGCUCCUCCCUCUGCUCAAAAUGCUGUUCCCUCCCUGUCUGCCUCACUGGCUCCUCACUCCCUCUGUGUCUCUGGUCCCCUGUCAGCUUUCUGCUAUCCUAUUAUCCUAUCUCCUUUCCCUGGUGUACUUUGCUACUUUGCGUCUGUCUAUAUAUAACAUACUGCAUUUUUUAUUUGUUUAUCCUAUUUAUUAGCUCUGAUAAAUAGAAUGUGAAGUCCCAGAAGGCCACUUAGGGAGCUCCAUUCACCGCUGUACCCCUAGCAAUCCGAACGGCAUUGGGCAUAUAGUACUCAAUAAAUUAUUGUCAAAUUAAUGAACAAAUGGGGUUCAGUGUUCCUUCAGGGAGCCUAUAGUUUAUCAGGGAGACAAACUGUGUUCUGGGAACACAGAAUAGCAUUUGGUAGGUGAUAAAAAUGCGGUGGCAGCCACUAAGUCAUUUUAAAUUCAGCACAUCGCACAGCAAAAUUGUACCUGUUUUCUGUGCCACGUUUUAAAUAAUCGUGUCUCUAAAAACAGGGUAGAAAAGGAACACACACAAAUAAAUCCUUCCCAAUACAGACAGUGCAGUAGUUGAAAUCACCAUUUUCUGUUUUUGCCUUUCAAUGUAAUGUAACUUCUUUUUUUUUUUUUUUUUGAGACAGUCUCACUCUAUUGCCCAGGCUGGAGUGCAGUGGCGUGAUCUUGGCUCACUGCAACCUCCACCUCCCAGGUUCACGCGACUCUCCCGCCUCAGCCUCCCGAGUAGCUGGGAUUAGAGGGGUGCACCACUAUGCCUGCCUAAUUUCUUUGUAUUUUAGUAAAGGGGUUCUCCAUGUUAGCCAGACUGGUCUCAAACUCCUGACCUCAAGUGAUCUGCUCACCCUGGCCUCCCAAAAUGCUGGGAUUACAGGCAUGAGCCAUCAUGCCCAGCCCUAAUGUAAUGUAACUUUUGCACACGUCCCUGUUGCGUGCUCGUUUUUUAUGGCUGCACGCAGCCACGGCAGUCCUCAGUCCUCUUUCCUCUGCCUCGAGGCCCAGCUUUGCCCAUUAUGAGUGCCUUCUCCAUACUGCUAAGGCGGACACCUGGUCUUGGUGAUGUAGGUGUUGACACUCAGGAGAUAAAGAGCCUGGUGGAAGUUCGCCAGGGGUCUUUUCUGUCCCCCACGUAGUCCCUCAUGAGCUCCUUGGUGGGCACAGCUAUGCCUUAGACUGCUUCUGGGUGUUCCCACCCCAUCACCUCUGCCCCACUCAGGCAGAACCCGUUAGGCUAGGAUGCCCAGUAAGUUUGAGAUAAAAUGGAGUUGGCUGCAGGUAGGAGUUACAGGAAGAGGCACGAGCACCAGGCGUCCCUGUGCCAAAAUACACACAGGAGGAAGGCUACCUGGCUUCAGCUGGCUUGUCCCUAGGGAGGCUGUGCGCCUCAUUUUCUAGCUGGCAGCAGUCCUCGAUCACCCAGGAGUGGAGCUCCCUGCCAUCCUUGGGCUUCCCCUCAUGCCAGGCACUGGGCUGUGGACAUAAUGAAAGCCCUGGAAAUGUGGGUACAGUUUGCAGAGCUUCCAGGGGGCAUCCUCGUGGUGGGGUGUCUGGGGGGCUCUGACUGCUCUCUGCUCUCAUCCCU